UACGGAGGGUGCAAGCGUUAAUCGGAAUUACUGGGCGUAAAGCGUGCGUAGGCGGUUCGUUAAGUCUGUUGUGAAAGCCCCGGGCUCAACCUGGGAAUGGCAAUGGAUACUGGCGAGCUAGAGUGUGUCAGAGGAUGGUGGAAUUCCCGGUGUAGCGGUGAAAUGCGUAGAGAUCGGGAGGAACAUCAGUGGCGAAGGCGGCCAUCUGGGACAACACGUGACGCUGAGGCACGAAAGCGUGGGGAGCAAACAGGAUUGAGAUACCCGU
rnacentral:rRNA from 1 species